UCAGAGGGGAAGUGCGAUUUUUGAGCCAGCUUCCUGUUUUCGUGCUUGGCAGCUUUACAGCAACCCUUUUUUCCUGCAAAAGCCUGGUGGUGUGGAGUGCGACUUUCCAUUGCAUGCCAGCAAAUAAACUUAUUUUCAGCCCGGUAACAAAUUCCGCAACCGCGAAGGGAGUCUGAAUCCAACUGCGUUACCUUAGCCCCCAGUCGGGGGUCUGGAUUCCGAACUCCCUCCAAUCGGCAGAGUGAGCCUUCGCUGCUUUCGGGUUUUAACUUCGGGGAGAGAAACUUGUUUGGGGUUCUGAAGACAUCCUUUCGGUGAGUGAGAACGUACAGAUGACUGACUGCUCGUGAUUUUCUUCGUGUUUGACCUCAACCGAGAGGCCCUGGUCAGCGAGACCCUUCAGAUAAGAAUGUACCAGUGCCCCUUUUGCUUGGAGUGUGAUUGCCAACAGAUGUUACAAAGGAUCAUUAUUCGGACAGAAGUGUCCUGUAUUUGAGGAAGAAAAAAAGAUACCUGAUGAGGACAGAUGGUAACAUUUAUGCGUUAUCUGAACAUACCAGGUCCCAAAUAGCACCUCGUAGUGCAGAAGAAUGCAUCCUUCUAGAUUGCUUCAGGACCCUCCCCCCAAGGCUUCAGAGAACGCCUCUCCUCGCUUGUGUGUAAGCUGUUGCUGGGCUCAUCAGGGCAGAGCAGCUUUGGGAAUGUUCCCCUGGGUCUUGUUGGGCUGCUCUUCUAACACUAAAAGCUUUGCUUCAAAA